rnacentral:rRNA from 1 species
AGCAGUAGCCACGGGAAUACGUAGGUGGCAAGCGUUGUCCGGAAUUAUUGGGCGUAAAGCGCGCGCAGGCGGAUCAGUCAGUCUGUCUUAAAAGUUCGGGGCUUAACCCCGUGAUGGGAUGGAAACUGCUGAUCUAGAGUAUCGGAGAGGAAAGUGGAAUUCCUAGUGUAGCGGUGAAAUGCGUAGAUAUUAGGAAGAACACCAGUGGCGAAGGCGACUUUCUGGACGAAAACUGACGCUGAGGCGCGAAAGCCAGGGGAGCGAACGGGAUUAGAUACCCCUGUAGUCCCUGUCUCUUAUACA